rnacentral:lncRNA from 1 species
AGGCUCUUUUUAAACUUUACAACACAAUGUGGCAGUUAUAUUUUUCUAUGAAAGCAAGAAAAUAAAAUAGGAGAAACUCAAUUUUUGUGUUGUUCUAAUUCUCUGUGCUGGAGAACUGACUCCAAGAGAACUAAAAGAGGAAGCUUUGGCAGGAUGCCCAGCAUCACGGCACCCUGGUCAUAAGUAAACCAUAAGGAUCAAGUAAUUUGCUGAGAAACAUUCACACCAGAAGUAUUACUGGGAAACAAAGAGCUUGUGAUCCAAUUAAUGUGGAACAUUGUUUUUCUGGAGGGCAUGGAUGGUCUCAGAUGUAACCUCUAGUGAUGUUGAGACUCAAAUGAGAAAAUCUCCAGAAGGGGAAAAUGUGUGAACAUAGACAUUUUGAAAUUUAAUCUGUAGCAUUAACACUUUUUAAGUCUUGACAAUCAACAAAAAGAUUUCAAGGUCACCCUCUUUUGAGUGCUUAUGGAUCUUAUCCAAGAAGCUCUCCAUUCAUUGUUUCUUGGCUUGAUUUAAUCAACACAAUGUCAUUCUCAAAUGGGAGCAUCAUGAGGACUUCAUCACUUUUAGAAAAUGCCUUUUCAACUUCAUUUCUCUGCUAGAUCUCCUCCAGUUUAAAAUCUAACAGAGGAAUAUUUAACAAAAUAAAGAAAAUGUAAUAGAACA